UGCCGCGUGAGUGAUGAAGGUUUUCGGAUCGUAAAACUCUGUUGUUAGGGAAGAACAAGUUGGGUAGUAACUGACCCGACCUUGACGGUACCUAACCAGAAAGCCACGGCUAACUACGUGCCAGCAGCCGCGGUAAUACGUAGGUGGCAAGCGUUGUCCGGAAUUAUUGGGCGUACAGCGCUCGCAGGCGGUCUUUUAAGUCUGAUGUGAAAGCCCACGGCUUAACCGUGGAGGGUCAUUGGAAACUGGAGGACUUGAGUACAGAAGAGGAGACUGGAAUUCCACGUGUAGCGGUGAAAUGCGUACAGAUGUGGAGGAACACCAGUGGCGAAGGCGACUCUCUGGUCUGUAACUGACGCUGAGGAGCGAAAGCGUGGGUAGCGAACACGGAUUACAUACCCUGAAUAUCCACGCCGUAAACGCAUGAGUGCUAAGUGUCACGGG
rnacentral:rRNA from 1 species